UGCCCAGCAACUCCUAUCCCUGCCUCCUCGUGGUACUGUCCGGGGUACGAGUAACCUUGGCGAAGAUCGGGUAACCAACCCCCGGUGGUCGUAUGCUGACAGGGAAGG
rfam:Aedes aegypti strain Liverpool supercont1.86 genomic scaffold, whole genome shotgun sequence.